ensembl:lncRNA
CUUAUUUGAGAUGUAAAGCUUUUUAAAUUAACAUUUUUUCAACAGUCUUUUUAGGUUUAUGGCAUUGCGUUUCAACAAAUGAGUAAAACUGGAUUUAACUUUGCACAGGAAAGGUUGCCAGAAAUUGCUAUCGAUUGAGCUUAACUUUACUGAACCCAGUGCCCUUUAAAUGUCAGAUUAGCAGACAUUGUCCUGACUACGACCCGGCUGGUAUUAAAGAAGGACAUAAACAAAGUCACAAGUAGGCAACUUAUGAGUUUUUGGACAAUAAAAUAGUGUCCGAUACAACACCAUUAUAUUUCAUCACUGCAGCAACUUAGCAGGGCUGUUUAAACAAGCGCUGGAUGGUGGGUGGAUGACGAGGUUGCUGUUUGAGGCGCAUUGUUUAUGUGCUGUGCAGCGAGAAGAAAGGAGAUGAAGAAUAUCUCGGAGGCUCUGACAGCCGCUCUCCUGCCAGCUGCGGUAUUAAGCUUUGAAUUACUGUAGCUCUGCUCACUUUAAUGAAUCAGACUUGGCGUUUAUUUGCUCUAUAACAAGUAUGGCUUCAUUUGACUAUGCAGAGAGUCUAUUUGCCAGACCUGAGGUCACCAAAUCUUUUUAUGAACUGCUGGCUGCAGAGAAUAUCCUUUGUUGGUUUCUCUUUCAGUCUCCCUUUAUUAUUUCUGCACUGCCAUUCCUCAUGGCUUGUGCUGCUUUUUAUGGAAAUGUGUAGUUUACAGUAAAUGCUUCUGCUAUUGUAAUUUCAAAUCAUCUUUCUCCAUCAAUGUCAAUUCAAAAGUAUCCAUGCAUUCUGAUUAAAUGAAUGAGUUCUAUUUUCAGUGACUUUUGAUUCAUUUAAAACCACCAAUGGCCCUGUCUCAAAUUGCAGCCUAAAACUUUGCGGCCUUCCUCUGAGUGCACACUUUUGUGGCGUAAUGGCGUUUUGACUGUCGGGUAGAAGUCUGCUGUGGAGCUUGCCUCAGUGCGGGUUCGACAGAAGUGUGCAUUACAGCUGCAAAGGGAGUGCUCACGAGCACCGCUUUGAAAGCUAAAAUGACAAACAACUGUCGUAAGUCAAAAUCAUUCAACAAACACGAUUUUUAUUCCUCGCCAGUGGGAGAUCACUAAAAAUAACAUUAAAGAGGUGUCUGCAUAACUGCGGAAACUUGGGGUUCUGAGGGUGCUGCAGCACCUCCUGCCAACAGCUGAUUCAGCACUUUUGAAACAGUUGCAACUUAAGUCUUAAAGAAGAUUAAGGAAAACAGUCCGACACCAUGACCUCAAGAAAGCAGCCCGGAAAAUGGAGCACAGCUGGAAGAAAACAAAACUAGAGGUUUCACACUGCAUAGAGGGAAAGUACCUUAAAAAUGGCUAUCUGCUUACUUAACAAACACAAUCUCAGGUAUAUAUUCAGUACAGUGGCUAAAUUAAAGAAAAAUAAAGCAUCAACAGGUGCUGACAUUUCAAAGCAUCACUGCAGUAAUGACUUUAUGAACUUCUUUACUUCCAAGAUUGAUACUAUUAGAGAUAAAAGUAUAACCAUGCAGUCAUCAUAUACAGUAUUGCAUCAGAUUGCGCACUAUAGAUCCCCUGAGGCACAAUUCUGCUCAUUCCCUGCUAUAGGAUACAAAGAAUUGUAUAAACUUGUUAAAUCAUCUUAACCAAAAACAUGUAUGUUAGACCCUAUACCGUUAAGCUACUAAAAGAUGUGCUUCCAGAAGUCAUAGAUCCUCUUCUGAAUAUUAUUAAUUUGUAAUUGUCAUUAGGUUAUGUCCUAAAAACCUUCAAACUUUAAACUUCAUCAAUUUGUAUAAGUAAAUGAUGAGGUAUCAGAUUGAUCACAAGUGCAUUAUGGAGUACCAAAAGGCUCAGUACUAGGACCGUUGCUUUUCAUGCUUUAUGUGUUAACCUUGGGAGAUAUCAUCGA